AUCGCUUCUCGGCCUUUUGGUUAAGAUCAAGUGUAGUAUCUGUUCUUAUCAGUUUUAAAGUAGUAGUAAGACUAAUGCUCUGUCUUUACCCAAAGAUGCUCCCAUCUUAAUACUCAGAACUUGAGGAUACUUUCCAUGGCAAAUUCUGAUGAUUAAAUUUUGGAGACGGAAAUGAAAAGACUAGUCUAGUUACA